rnacentral:rRNA from 1 species
GACGAACGCUGGCGGCGUGCUUAAUACAUGCAAGUCAACUUGACUUUAGAUAGCAAUAUCGAAAAGUAGGGUGGCGCACGGGUGCGUAACGCGUAGGUAAUCUGCCCUGAGGUCUGACAUAACCCGUCGAAAGGCGGCUAACAUCAGAUGAUAUAUAAUCACGACAUCGUGGAAAUAUCAAAUCUUCGGAGCCUUGGGAUGAGCCUGCGUCUGAUUAGGUAGUUGGCGGAGUAAUAGCCCACCAAGCCUACGAUCAGUAGCUGGUCUGAGAGGAUGAUCAGCCACACUGGAACUGAGACACGGUCCAGACUCCUACGGGAGGCAGCAGUAAGGAAUAUUGCUCAAUGGGGGAAACCCUAGAAGCAGCAACGACCGCGUGAAGGAUGAAAUACUUUUGUAUGUAAACUUACUGUAAG